rnacentral:rRNA from 1 species
GACGAACGCUGGCGGCGUGCCUAAUACAUGCAAGUCGAACGAGAGCGACCGGUGCUUGCACUGGUCAAUCUAGUGGCGAACGGGUGAGUAACACGUGGGUAACCUGCCCAUCAGAGGGGGAUAACAUCCGGAAACGGAUGCUAAAACCGCAUAGGUCUUCGAGCCGCGUGGCUUGAAGAGGAAAAGAGGCGCAAGCUUCUGCUGAUGGAUGGACCCGCGGUGCAUUAGCUAGUUGGUGAGGUAACGGCUCACCAAGGCCGUGAUGCAUAGCCGACCUGAGAGGGUGAUCGGCCACAUUGGGACUGAGACACGGCCCAAACUCCUAUGGGAGGCAGCAGUAGGGAAUCUUCCGCAAUGGACGCAAGUCUGACGGAGCAACGCCGCGUGAGUGAAGAAGGUUUUCGGAUCGUAAAACUCUGUUGUUAGAGAAGAACAAGUGCUAGAGUAACUGUUAGCGCCUUGACGGUAUCUAACCAGAAAGCCACGGCUAACUACGUG